GAACAUCAUAUUAUGAUGGGUGAUGUCAUUUGGUGAGUUUUGAAUGAAAUCCAAUGGCUAAAACUAUGCAAUACACCAACCACUCCAUUUCAUAACGCACUUCGUACGAACCUGAAUUGUCCAAUUUCAUGGACCAAUCGAUAUCGGAUUGAGUCCAAAACUUGGGGAACACCACAAUAUGGUCGGAGGAGUCAUUUGGGGGGUUUUGAGUGAAAUCCAAUCUCUAGAACUAUGCAAUACAACAACCACUGCAUUUCAUAACGAACUUCGUACGAACCUGAAUUUUCCAAUUGCAUGGACCAAUUGAUUUGGGAUUGAGUACAAAACUCGGGGAACAUCAAAAUUGAUGGGUGGAGUCAUUUAGUGAGUUUUGAAUGAAAUCCAACCACUAAAACUAUGCAAUACACCAACC
rnacentral:lncRNA from 1 species